AAUUGAGUUAGAGGUUGCAUUUUUAAAUAUUAACUUGUCAGAAGUAUUAUGGUACAUGUGUUGAACAAGUGAAAGGUAAAAAUGCCGAAAUAAAUACAAUCCAUAAGUUGUAUUUGUUGGGACAGUUUUCGAAUAGAGACUGUACUGUCACAGUUUGUGAUGUGCUACCUUAUAU
rnacentral:ncRNA from 2 species